UCUGUUUUCAGGUGUGAGGCCUCCUGCAACCGUGUCCCAGUGGAAAUGGAGCUGCCUGUGGCCCUCCCGAGUUCUAUUUUUGCUGGCAGAGUCACCACAGGUCGGUCCUUCACUGUUUCCAGGGCAAUCCUAUGGGCCAGUUCUAAGCACCCUGCAGGCCAGAUCCGGCCCACAGGCCUUGAGUUUGACACCCCUGGCCUAGCCCAUUGUGCAAUCCCAGGCCACUUUCUGGAGGAGCUGUGAGAAAAAGAUGUGUCUGAAAAUUAAAGGAUGUCAGGAUUGAGCUGUGAGACAGGAAAGGAAAGUGCGCCAUUAAUAUUCUGACUUGAAACCUGCAUGCUCUCAGGGCCCAAAAUUUAUCUUCAUUCUUCAUAGGUGAUUUGCUUUGAAAGUUUCUUGGAGCACUCUUUGAUUUGAUUUUAUCCAAGGAUCAAAGGAAUACAUUUGGACACAUAGGGAAAAUGGUUUAUUUUGGUGUUAACACCAGUUGAGCAAUUAAAACAAGAUCAUUUGUGGUUGAUCAUGUGAGUCCUCA